UACGUAGGCAGCAAGCGUUGUUCGGAGUUACUGGGCGUAAAGGGUGCGUAGGCGGCUUUUUAAGUUUGGUGUGAAAUCUCCCGGCUCAACUGGGAGGGUGCGCCGAAUACUGAGAGGCUAGAGUGUGGGAGAGGAAGUGGAGUACUCGUGGUGUAGCGGUGAAAUGCGUAGAUAUCAGGAGGAACACCUGUGGCGAAAGCGGCUCACUGGACCAUAACUGACGCUGAUGCACGAAAGCUAGGGGAGCAAACAGG
rnacentral:rRNA from 1 species